rnacentral:rRNA from 1 species
AGUGAACGCUGGCGGUAGGCCUAACACAUGCAAGUCGAACGGCAGCACAGUAAGAGCUUGCUCUUACGGGUGGCGAGUGGCGGACGGGUGAGGAAUACAUCGGAUUCUCCUUUUUCGUGGGGGAUAACGUAGGGAAACUUACGCUAAUACCUCAUACGACCUACGGGUGAAAGCAGGGGAUCUUCGGACCUUGCGCGAUUGAAUGAGCCGCUGUCGGAUUAGCUAGUUGGCGGGGUAAAGGCCCACCAAGGCGACGAUCCGUAGCUGGUCUGAGAGGAUGAUCAGCCACACUGGAACUGAGACACGGUCCAGACUCCGACGGGAGGAAGCAGUGGGGAAUAUUGGACAAUGGGCGCAAGCCUGAUCCAGCCAUACCGCGUGGGUGAAGAAGGCCUUCGGGUUGUAAAGCCCUGUUGUUGGGAAAGAAAAGCAGCAGGUUAAUACCCCGCUGUUCUGACGGUACCCAAAGAAUAAGCACCGGCUAACUUCGUG